GUUUUCAUUCACCUGAUGUUGCACAUGAUGCUGUUAUUGAAUCUCUUACUUCUCACAAAUUCAAUGGUUAUUCACCUACUGUGGGACUUCCUCAAACAAGAAAGGCGAUUGCAGAUUAUUUGUCGCGUGAGCUCCCCGAAAAGUUAUGUGCAGAUGAUGUUUAUAUCACAGCUGGUUGCACCCAAGCCAUUGAAUUAGCAUUGUCGAUUCUGGCUCGCCCUGGUGCUAACAUAUUGCUACCGAGGCCUGGUUUCCCAAUUUAUGCACUGUGUGCUGCAUUUAGAAACAUCGAAGUUCG
rnacentral:misc_RNA from 1 species